GGGGGGAGCACCAGAUCUUGGGCUGUGUCCCCCAUCGCCCUUGGCUCCAGGGCCUGCACCGCUGGAAUGCGCUCCUGGGCCGCAUAGCCCCCU
rnacentral:pre_miRNA from 1 species